AUUUAGAUUUCUUUAUCCAACGGCAAAAAAUAACAACAGGUUUAAUAUGCUGUGUGGAAAAAAAGCCAAAAAAGGUGCAAAAUGGCCUGCUCUCACUCAAUGGUUCCUUUUCUCCUCCUGCAAUGCAUUGUGGGUGUCAUGGCUGUACGUGGACUGAACUGAGUUUUGAUGACAAUUGCUAAACAUUUAGUACAAAUGUAACAGGUAAUAGAGUAACCUUAUUUAAUGCUGG